CUAGGCUGACUGUCCAUCCAGCAAUUAUAGGUAGACCGGAAGCUACAUUUUAACAGCCACAAAGGACACAUCACCAUGAAUCAUUUGCAGAUAUUCCUACUUUCUGCCACAGCUAGGACCUCCAGAACUAUAUUGAAUAGAUAUGAAGAGAGUGGACAAUCUUGUCUUGUGCCUGAUUUCAGUCGACUCACUGUCAAUCCUCAUGCCCCCACUACAAAAGAAGAAGAAGGAGGAGCAGGAGCAGGAGGAGGAGGAGGAGGAGGAGGAGGAGGAGGAGGAGAAGGA